CAGGACAUAUGACAAAUGGAUCCGUGAGACCGUGAUGCAUUCAGUUUACAUGUUAACUUUGUGGCAAGUACUGUAGUGUGCGUUGUAUUCGGUUUCGAACGAUUGAUUUACCUUUCCAUAGAUCGUAAUAAGUAUUCCUAAAUGUUCCACAUUGCAGGCUGUGCUUAGACCGCUGGCUGGGGCUGCGUGAUCGCAAAGCGCUUUUGAAAAUAUGAGACGCACUCGAAUUCGGACUGGCAACUUUGUUAAAUGCAUCUAAAAGCUUCGCCUGCCAUACCUCGGCUCCUUUUGCAUGCUACCUUCUUGGUGAAGCAAGAUGUGUUGCAGCAUGGUGAUAAAAAGCACUUAUUUUAUACGAGCGUUCCCCACUUUCGUAUUAAGUCAGCAUCACAAGCUUUGUGAUAGACCUACAGUGUACACGAUGUUGCAAGACAAACUUCUGCGCAAAAUCACUGUCUCAUAUUUGGUGUGAUCAAUUGGUUGCAUAUCCUGGACUGGCGAGGGCAGCGCUGGAGAUGAUCACUCCAUUUCCAACUACUUACCUGUGUGAGAAGACAACUGUCCGGAACCGUCUUCAUGGAGGCCUGUUCCACGACAUGAGGGUGGCUCUGGCUAACACCAUGCUACGAUAUGAGAAACUAUACUCGGUUUUUCCCAUCUGUCCACCCGCCUGUGGUGUUUGCGUAUGGUAACACUGCGUCCUGGGCUCUAGAUAGUUACAUUCAGCUUACAUUCAACAGUUAUAAUAAUAUCCUAUUUCGGAUACUAACGGUGUAAUUCACAUACAGCAGAUUAUUUAAACACUUUUCAGUUGCAAAUGUACACCAGAUGUCCUUUUAUUUACCUCAAACUUACA